AACGUCUCUGAAAGAAAAUAGAGCAUCAAUUAAAUUCACCUUAAGGCUAAGAUAUUAGUUAGUCUAUUCUAGGUUAAAAAUAGACAGUGAUUUCCAGGAUUUCAGUUAUGAUUAUUCUUUUUAGGUGACUAAAAUGUAAAGAGAUGAGUGGGAGGACUUGCCACAGAAGCAACAAAGACCGAGAAGAUUUCUUAGAAGGAUGAAAAUAUGAUGACAUCUGUUGAAAGCAAUACACUUUGUGAUACCAUUUCCUUACUUUGGGCAGCAGAGCAAUUCGCUGAAGUUGCAGUAACAGAUCAUCUCACAUCCCUUCCCAUCCCAGAAAUGAUCCUGGACAUUGACAUCAAUCUGUGUCAGGUGCCAAAGUAUCUUUCCUUCCUUGGAAAGAGGGAAAACAGAUGGAGGACAUUGUACUUGGAAAGAAAACAAUAUUGUGGAAUAGCCAGACGUGGUGGCUCACACCUGUAAUCCCAGCACUUUGGGAGGCCAAACCCGGCAGAUCACCUGAGGCUUGACUCCUUCUGGGCUCACCAAGGCUGGCAGUAUGGGGAGAAGCAGCAGCUGGUUUCGGCCUUCACAGCUCACAUCUUCCCAGGAGAGAGGUCCUGAGUUAUUGCCCUAAUCUUCUCAAAGCUGUUUCACAGACACAAGCAUCUGGUGAGUUGAUAAUGUUAAUGAUAAUAGCAAUGAUACUAGUAAUAAUAAUGCUAUUAACUGCAUUGCCAAGUGUGCUAAACAUUUUGCAAAUGUUGUCUUAUUUAGUACACGCAACUUACUUACAUGAGGUAGUUUCCAGAUGGGGGAACUGGGGUUCAAAAAAAUUAAGCACUUGGCCAAGAUCACACAGCUGAUAAGUAGUGGAGCACAAACUGGAAACCAAGACAAAACUGUGCUCUUAGCCUGCUGCCACAAUAAAUAGCAAAAGAAAUAGAAUGAGAAAUUGGAGAACCUAAAACAACAGUACCUUUUUAAAAAAUUGUAGCCCAUAAUUUGAAUGUGCAUGAAUCACACCUGCUCUCUGUGAGCCACAGAGUCGUCUCUCUUUUACUGUGUUUCCUCCGUCCAUCUUCUGUUCAUAUUUGGCUUGAAACAGUUCUUAACUGGACAGUCAGAAACUUAAAGCAGCUGAAUGGUGUUUUCUACAAAGUCAGAUAUGGACAGUUGCCAAAAUAUCAGUCCUUGGGACAGAGUUUUUAAGUGAUUAUAAUUCUAGGAGUAAAACCAGUCACUCAGUAAAUAUUUGUUAAAUGAAUGAAUGAGUUAAUGAAUAAAUGAGUGAGGGGAUUAGAUUCUUGGGUACAGGAGAGGUUCUUGGGAAGUAAUCAUUCAUAAUUAUUUAUUGUGUGUCUGCUGUGUACCAUGAAUGAUAUUGCAGUGUCGCUGAAGGCAAAGUUCAGCAACUGAUCACUAUUUCUUCAAGGUCCUCUCCAAAGCACAAGCUACUUGGCCAGCCUGGCUGCUGAGUCCUAAUGUAAACCCUCAGUCUUCUCCCUUGUAAAAUAAGGGGUUUAAUUGAUUGUUUUUAUUGCUCUUCUACUUCCCAUUUUUCUAUGAGUAUAUGAUUCUAAAUAUCAUUUUUAAACAAACAUUUUUAUUUUAAAAUAGUUUUUCAUUUACAGAAAAACUGUUAGCUUAGUACAGAGACUUCCUAUAUACCCUAUAUCCAGUUUCCUCUAUUAUUUAACUCUUACAUUAGUGUGGUCCAUUUUUUAUAAUUAAUAAAUCUACAUUAAUACAUUAUUAUUAACUAAAGUUCAUACUUUAUUUAUUUGUACUUAGUUUUUACCUUUUCUGUUGCGGGAUCCCCUGCCCAGAACACCACAUUACAUUUAGUUGUAGUGUCUCUUCAGGCUCCUCAGUGUCUCCGACUUUGCCUGUUUUUGAUGACUUUGACCGUUUUGAGGAAUACUGGUCAAGUAUUUUGUAGAAUGCCUCUCAACUUAGAUCUGUCUAAUAUUGGUCUUAUGGUUAAACUUGGGUUAUGUGUUUGUAGAAAGAGGACCACAGAGUUAAAGUGCCAUUUCCAUCAUGUCAUAUCACACAUGAACAUACAGGUCAGGAACGUGACUUAUCACUAUUGAUUUAACUUCAAUCACCUGGCUCAAGUCGUUUUCGUUAUGUGGCUCCACUGCACAUUUACUCUUUUUCUCCCCCUUUCCAUAGUACACUCUGUGGAAGGAAGUCCCUAUGCAUGGUCCAUAUGUAAGGAGUGGGAAGUUAUGCUCUACCUCUUUGAGGGCGGAGUAACUACAUAAAUUUUGGAGAAUUUUUCUUCACAUGAAAUUUGUCCAUCAUUGCUUAUUUAUUUACUUGUAUUAGGAUGAACUCAUGUAUAUUUAUUCUAUACUUUGGAUUAUUUUAUACUUUGGAUUAAAAUAUUCCUUGCUCAAACUGUCCCAGCUUUUGCCUUUAGGGGCUCCUUUAGUUGCCUCUUGUGUCUCUAUGGCAUGCCCCAUCAAGGUCGUGGUUUUUGGUUUUGUUUUGUUUUUGUGCACUUUCUUCCUUUCUGGCACUAAAAGAUUGCUCCAAGCUCAUCUUGUGUAUUUCCUGUCCCAGUACUAGAAUCAGCCAUUUCUCCAAGGAGCCCUGGUUCCUUUCAUUGAAGAAUAAAUUAGAAACCAAGAUCUGGGAGCUAGGUGUGCUCACUAGUACUGGUGUGUCAUAGCUUCUCAUUCCUCUCAGCUGACAGAGCAAGGAAAUAUACUGUGUAUACCAACCUGUGUAAAUACACAUAUCUAUGAAUAUUGCUAUGCAUAACUGUCUGUAUCUACAACAACCUAAACAUGAGUUUAUUCUGAUGCCUCCAACUCUAAUCCAUUACUACGUGAAUCAUUUGAGCUUCCUCCUCUUGCUCAUCUGUAACCUCCUGCUCCAGCAGUGGGAACCUAACUCCUACUAUCAGCCACUUAUUUAAUUGUUCAUUUCCAGUAUACAUGUAUAGCAGCAUCGGAAUUGUUGGCACAUACCUCAUGG
rnacentral:lncRNA from 1 species